UCCGGAUGCUCUCGGGAAACUGCUCUGUGCCCUAGGAAAGCCCCUCGGUCUCCUCUAGCCGCCGUCAUUCUUGAUCGCAAGAGCUUCUCGGGAAGGUGAGAGGAGAGGAGACAGCGAGAGGGUGCGAUGGAUGAGGCUGGCCCCAACUCCCUGACCCUGCGCUUCGUCAACCUACCGCAGUGGGUGCAUGAGCUCCCGCGCGACUGCGUCAUUCCGGCGCUCACCAGGAUCCUCCGGCAAUACGUACCGCUCCACCCUACGGACGACGAUUGGUUCUCAAGAGAGUGUCCGUGGCAGGAGGAGGUCACCCGUCAGUACCGUUUCGAACCUCCGAAUCAAUUAAUCUGAGAUUGGUGACCGUAGCUUCUUUGCCAUAAGGAAAUUUUUUGGGAAUUUUGGCGUUAGAGCAGGGACCGUUAGUUUGUUGCAAGCUUAUGUUGAAGCUUUGCUUGGGCUGGAAGGCCUGUUAACUCUGGUUGAAACUAUUACUUAUUGCCCAGCUGUGGUUAGUUUGUUGCAAGCUUAUGUCGAAGGCUCGAAGCUUUGCUUCGGCUGGAAGGCCUGUUAACUCUGGUUGAAACUAUUACUUAUUGCCCAACUGUGGUAAUUAUUUUGAUCUCGAAACUUAACAAAGUUCCUCCUUUUUUCAAAACCUUCCAUGGUCAUUGGGCCUACUA